rnacentral:rRNA from 1 species
GACGAACGCUGGCGGCGUGCUUAACACAUGCAAGUCGAACGGAAAGGCCCUGCUUUUGUGGGGUGCUCGAGUGGCGAACGGGUGAGUAACACGUGAGUAACCUGCCCUUGACUUUGGGAUAACUUCAGGAAACUGGGGCUAAUACCGGAUAGGAGCUCCUGCUGCAUGGUGGGGGUUGGAAAGUUUCGGCGGUUGGGGAUGGACUCGCGGCUUAUCAGCUUGUUGGUGGGGUAGUGGCUUACCAAGGCUUUGACGGGUAGCCGGCCUGAGAGGGUGACCGGCCACAUUGGGACUGAGAUACGGCCCAGACUCCUACGGGAGGCAGCAGUGGGGAAUAUUGCACAAUGGGCGGAAGCCUGAUGCAGCAACGCCGCGUGCGGGAUGACGGCCUUCGGGUUGUAAACCGCUUUCGCCUGUGACGAAGCGUGAGUGACGGUAAUGGGUAAAGAAGCACCGGCUAACUACGUGCCAGCAGCCGCGGUGAUACGUAGGGUGCGAGCGUUGUCCGGAUUUAUUGGGCGUAAAGGGCUCGUAGGUGGUUGAUCGCGUCGGAAGUGUAAUCUUGGGGCUUAACCCUGAGCGUGCUUUCGAUGCGGGUUGACUUGAGGAAGGUAGGGGAGAAUGGAAUUCCUGGUGGAGCGGUGGAAUGCGCAGAUAUCAGGAGGAACACCAGUGGCGAAGGCGGUUCUCUGGGCCUUUCCUGACGCUGAGGAGCGAAAGCGUGGGGAGCGAACAGGCUUAGAUACCCUGGUAGUCCACGCUGUAAACGGUGGGUACUAGGUGUGGGGUCCAUUCCACGGGUUCCGUGCCGUAGCUAACGCUUUAAGUACCCCGCCUGGGGAGUACGGCCGCAAGGCUAAAACUCAAAGGAAUUGACGGGGCCCCGCACAAGCGGCGGAGCAUGCGGAUUAAUUCGAUGCAACGCGUAGAACCUUACCUGGGUUUGACAUGGAUCGGGAGUGCUCAGAGAUGGGUGUGCCUCUUUUGGGGUCGGUUCACAGGUGGUGCAUGGCUGUCGUCAGCUCGUGUCGUGAGAUGUUGGGUUAAGUCCCGCAACGAGCGCAACCCUUGUUCACUGUUGCCAGCACGUUAUGGUGGGGACUCAGUGGAGACCGCCGGGGUCAACUCGGAGGAAGGUGGGGAUGACGUCAAGUCAUCAUGCCCCUUAUGUCCAGGGCUUCACGCAUGCUACAAUGGCUGGUACAGAGAGUGGCGAGCCUGUGAGGGUGAGCGAAUCUCGGAAAGCCGGUCUCAGUUCGGAUUGGGGUCUGCAACUCGACCUCAUGAAGUCGGAGUCGCUAGUAAUCGCAGAUCAGCAACGCUGCGGUGAAUACGUUCCCGGGGCU